AUCCAGCUGUCGAGUCUCGAAUAGGACGAAACGCGCUUCAAGCUGGAU
rnacentral:hammerhead_ribozyme from 1 species